AUGAAGAACACCUGGGACUGGAACCUGGAGGAGGACAUGUACCCAAUCUAUAACGUUAAAUGUGUUAUGUGUACAUGCAACUUGUGUGGUUGUUGCACGGGCUCCAACAUGCUCUUUGAGAAAAGAAAAGGUGGCACAGCUUUGGAUAUACGUGACGUGGCGGCAUCAUACAGUAGCAUCGUUCGCUAUAGUUGUAUAGUAGUAGAAUUGAGAUUUAAUUCACUUUCUUCCCCGUCUUCCCCUCUUCUUCCUCCUCUCUUCUUCUUCCUCCUCUCUUCCCCAUCGUCGGCCGCACACCAUUUCCCCCUGCUCACUACUCGCCCGCCCGCGCUAUCUUCCUUGUACCAUACAACUGGAAUUAACCCAUGCAAGUCGAAGAAUGAUUGGUCGGUGCUGCCGGCUGGCGUCAAGUUCGAUCCCACGGAUCAGGAGCUGAUCGAGCACCUUGAGGCCAAAGUGAGUGCUGACAGCGCGAGAUCUCACCCUCUCAUCGAUUUGUUCAUACCAACCAUCAACAGCGAGCACAGCAUAUGCUACACCCAUCCUGAGAAACUUCCAGAUGUUAUGAAAAUGCCAACUACGUACACUAAAACCCGUAUUCGACAAUACUGCAGGUAUCACACUGAGUGGCCUAAGCAAGCAUUUCUUCCAGCGCAAUUCCAGGGCGUUCAAAAGGGGCACGUGGACGCGUCGCAAGAUAUAGUCGGAGUGCGCAUGCAUGCGAUGUGGCACAACACCGGCAAUACCUUGCCGGUAAUGGUCAACGGCUGGCAGACGGGCAGCAAAAAGGUUCUGGUGCUGCACACCAACAAGAACUUCGACCAGCAGAGGACCAACUGGGUGAUGCACCAGUACCACCUCGGGGACUUGGAGCAAGAGAAGGAGCGGGAGCUGGUCCUCUGCAAGAUUUUCUACCAAACAAACACUAGGGCCAGGAGUAAAAAGAUUAUAAGUUAG
rnacentral:rRNA from 1 species